UACGUAGGUGGCAAGCGUUUGUCCGGAUUUACUGGGCGUAAAGGGCGUGUAGGUGGUAAUGUAAGUCUGGCGUGAAAUUUUUCGGCUUAACCGGGAAAGGUCGUCGGAUACUGCAUCACUAGAGGACGGUAGAGGCGUGUGGAAUUCCGGGUGUAGCGGUGAAAUGCGUAGAUAUCUGAAGGAACAUCAGUGGCGAAAGCGACUUCCUGGACCAAUACUGACGCUCAUGGUGCGAAAAGCGUGGGGAGCAAA
rnacentral:rRNA from 1 species